UACGGAGGGGGCGAGCGUUAUUCGGAAUUAUUGGGCGUAAAGGGCGCGUAGGCGGCCCGGUAAGUCAAAGGUGAAAUCCCUCGGCUCAACUGAGGAACUGCCUUUGAAACUGCCGGGCUAGAGUCCGGAAGAGGUGAGUGGAAUUCCUGGUGUAGCGGUGAAAUGCGCAGAUAUCAGGAGGAACACCAAUGGCGAAGGCAGCUCACUGGGACGGUACUGACGCUGAGACGCGAAAGCGUGGGGAGCAAACAGG
rnacentral:rRNA from 1 species